ACUUCUCAUUCAAUGUCAACAAGACCAAGGAGCUGAUUAUUGACUUCAGGAGAAGGAAACUGGAGGUCCCUCAUUGGUGGAUCAGAGGUAGAGAGGGGUAGCAACUUUAAAUACCUCAGCAUUAUCGUUUCAGAGGGUCCAGCACCUAAAUGCCAUUAUGAAGAAAGUGCAGCAGCACUUUUACUUCCUCAGAAGUUUGUGAAGAUUUGGGAUGAGAUCUAAGACUUGCAUAGAUGUGUGGUGGAGAGUAUAUUGACUGGUUGCAUCACAGCCUGGUAUGGAAACACCAAUGCUCUUGAAUGGAAAAUCCGACUAAAAGUAGUGGAAAUGGCACAAUUCAUCACAUUGAGCACACUUACAGGGUGCGUUGUUGUGGGAAAGAAGAAUCCGUCACCAGGACUUGUGAUAUGCACCAGCUGCUCAUACGACCAUCCAUCACCUGCUCCCAGGGCUUCAAGUGACCCUGAUUGGGAGGAGCUAAGCAGGUGCUACACCUUACCCAAGGAUGACCUGUGGGCUAGCAGAGGAAAGGAGCUCCUUCCACCUUCUUUGGUAGAGACAUAUCUCCACCCGGCCACCCACCAUAAACUAUAUCUCUUCUUAUAGUAGGAGAUUAAAUCUGAGCAUAUGCUUUGCUCCAAGCUGAACAAUACCUAAGAAAGAGUCAUGGAGUCAUACAUCACAGAAACAGGCCCUUUUGCCCAGCUUAUCUAUGCUGACCAAGAUACCCAUCUCAUUUUGCCUGCAUUUGAUCCAUGUCUGUCUAUACCUUUGUGCCUAUCCAUGUACCUGUCCAAAUGUUUUCCAAGCAUUGUAAUUAUACCUGUUUCUCCUAAUCCUCUCAACUUCAACAUGGAUGGUUCUAAGUCCAACUGCAAAAGGGGCUAGCAACCUCGUCCUGUAAACACCCAGAGUUACAGAAACAUCAACUAAAGCUCCAAAGACCUCAUCUCUGGGAGAAGAAGGAUACACCAAGAAGUUGGGCACAACAUGAAAGACUGGCCCAGGCCCAAGGACUCUGUCGAGCUGCUGUUGUCAGCCUAUGCCCCACUACAGGUGAUGGGCUUAAGUAAGUAAAUCCCAUUCCUAUGGCAACCUGCUUCAUGUAAGCCCUCCACCCUCAGUGUGAAAAUUUUGCCUCUUAGAUCUGUUUGAAAUCUUUCUUCUGUCCUCUUAGACACCCUCACACUUGGAAAAAGACAAUGACCAUUCAUCUUACAUGAUUUUAUGAACCUCUAAGAUCAGGCCUAGCCUAUUUUGCUCCAGAGAAAGAUAUCCCGGCUUGCGCUGUCUCUCCUGAUAACCCAAACUCCUCUUAACUUUUUUUAAACAUAUAAUUAUACCUGCAUUCUAAAACUUUUCAGUAAAUCGGAAUCAGAAUCAGAUUUAAUAUCACCGGCAAACAUCAUGAAAUUUGUUGUUUUGCAGCAGUAGUACAGUGCAAUACAUAAAAUGUACUGGUAAAUACAGGAAGAAAUAGAUAUAAAAAUACCAAAUAAGUAGUGCAAAAAUAGUGAGGUAGUGUUCAUGGGUUUAUUGUCCAUUCAGAUAUCUGAUGGCAGAAGGGAAAAAGCUGUUCCUAAAACAUUGAGUGUGUGUCUACAGGCCCCAGUACCUCCUCUCUGAUGGAAUUAACGAAGAGGGCACAUCCUACUUGGAGGGGGUCAUCAAUGAUGGAGGCAUCACCUUUUGAAGGUAUCUUCGAUGGUACGGAGGAACGAGUUCCCUCUUCCCUGGGACCUCUCUGCACCCCUCCUGGGCCUUUUGGCAUCCUUCCUCGUCAAUCCCCGACCUCGAGCUAACCUCUGACUGGGUUUGCUUCCUCACUUUUUCCAUUCUGUGCCUCUCUUUAAAAUAUUCCAAUAUCCUUUAAGGAAUCUGACCAUUGCUUGAGCCACCUUCAAACAUCUCCAACCUCGAUGUUAUCCUGAAAUAUAAAUGCUAGCCUUGCAAUUUGCUUUCCACAGCUUAAACAUAAAAGCCUUUCAGAUGUAUAGAUUGUUUUUUUAAGAAUCUGACAUGCACACUGAAUUGUUUUACUGGGAAGGAAUAGGAAUAAAUAUGUUUUCUUUGCUAUUGUGUGUUGGAGAGUGGGUGGAAAUAUGAAAAAAAUUGAAAUAAUGAUUAAAAACAAGAAGGGAGAAAGUAAUUGCUGAUGUUGGCCAGAGAUUUGUGACUGAAAUGAAUUGAAAGAGUGCGUCUCCUAAUGCCCUUAUUAUGCCUAUUGCUCUAUCUUUAAAAACAGCCUGUUAUUACACUAAUGAAAAACAACAUUACUUCCUGUGACACACACAACAGCGUAUAGAUCUUACAUCUCCCAUGGAGGCCGUUUUCUGCAGUUAUGCCAACGCGUAGGAACAACAGAAGCCCAUUCGUCCCCUCAGACCUGUUCCACCAUUCUACGUAAUUAGAGCAACACAGCCACACAAAACGUUGGAGGAACUCAGCAGAUCAGGCAGCAUCUACAGAGGGGAAGUGGACAGCUGAUGUUUUAUGGGGUCUGAAGAUUGGCUGCUGGUGAAUUUAACGUUUGCUAUAUACCCUAACUCCAGAAUGUGCCCUAACACUGCGUUCCAUCCAGACUGAUCACUCCGCACAUAAGUACAUCGAGGUACUACAGAAGGAAACCAGAAUGCAAGAUAUUGUGUUCCAGUUACAGAGAAAGUGCAGCGCAGUUAUACGACUAAAGUGCAGGGACAUGAGAAAGCAGAUGGAGAGAUCAAGAGCUCACCUUUAGCACAUGAGAGUCGUUUGCAGAAUCUCAGAUGGCAUCAAGGAAGCAUACAAGAAUGAGACGGGUCGGCUGACUGGUGUUGCUAUGCUAUAGUACUCAACAUCAGUAAAACCAAGGAACGGAUUGUGGACUUCAGGAAAGAGAAGGCAGGAGAACACACAGCAGCCAACAGUGGAAAAGAUGUUUGCUGAGCCAUUGAUCAUUCCCAGAACUUGAUGGUUAAUCUGAGCAGUUGCACUUUUUGCAUCCCCAGUCGGGUUUUAAGACAUCGAGACAGCAAGAACCUGACUCUCAACAUGGACAAGACAAAAGAGAGGAUGGUGGACUUCGGGAAGGUGUAGGCCGACCACUUACAAUUGCACAUCAAUGGCUCAGCUGUGGAGAGAGUCAAGAGCUCAACGUUUGUUGGUGUGCACACAUAAAGGACAAUCUAACCUGGACCCUCAACACCUUCUCAUUAGUCAAGAAGGCACAGCAGUGUCCAUACCUUGAGCUGAUUGAGGCGUACAGGGCUCCCAGCCCCCUUUCUAACAAGUGUCUACAGGAGCACCACCCAGAGUAUCCUGUCUGGAUGCAUCAUUGUGUGGUACGGAAGCUGUAAGACAUUAGAUCAGAAGACCCUACAGAGGUGUGGUAAACUAUGUGUAUACCUGUCUGGACAUGCCCCUCUGCUGACUGCUCCUUUGGCUUCUCCCAGAGACCCCUGUAUAAAGGCGAAUGAAGGCACUGCUCCUCCCUCAGUCUCCAGGAUGUAGUGGUCAGUUUGCAGCCCAUCUUUUGCCUCCCGUCUCCGAGAGUUAUUGAUGGUGCAUCAAGAGGACAGUAAAAACUGCUGAAAGAAUCAUCAGGGUCUUCUCCCCCCUCCUUAUUGGGUGUGAGUUCUGUUCAGGCUUAUUGUCAUCCAACCAUACACGCAUAUACAGCUAAAUAAAGCAUUUUUCCUCUGGGGCCAGGCUGCAAACUCAGUGCAUACAGUCACACACCAUUACGAUCCAGCACGUACAGUCACACAGACACGAUCCAGCACGUAGUCACGCAGUCACGAUCCAGCACGUACAGUCACACAGUCACGAUCCAGCAUGUACAGUCACACACAGUCACGAUCCAGCACGUACAGUCUCACACAG